AACGAACGCUGGCGGCAGGCUUAACACAUGCAAGUCGAGCGCCCCGCAAGGGGAGCGGCAGACGGGUGAGUAACGCGUGGGAAUCUACCCAUCACUACGGAACAACUCCGGGAAACUGGAGCUAAUACCGUAUACGUCCUUCGGGAGAAAGAUUUAUCGGUGAUGGAUGAGCCCGCGUUGGAUUAGCUAGUUGGUGGGGUAAUGGCCUACCAAGGCGACGAUCCAUAGCUGGUCUGAGAGGAUGAUCAGCCACACUGGGGCUGAGACACGGCCCAGACUCCUACGGGAGGCAGCAGUGGGGAAUAUUGGACAAUGGGCGCAAGCCUGAUCCAGCCAUGCCGCGUGAGUGAUGAAGGCCCUAGGGUUGUAAAGCUCUUUCAACGGUGAAGAUAAUGACGGUAACCGUAGAAGAAGCCCCGGCUAACUUCGUGCCAGCAGCCGCGGUAAUACGAAGGGGGCUAGCGUUGUUCGGAUUUACUGGGCGUAAAGCGCACGUAGGCGGAUUGUUAAGUUAGGGGUGAAAUCCCAGGGCUCAACCCUGGAACUGCCUUUAAUACUGGCAAUCUCGAGUCCGGAAGAGGUGAGUGGAAUUCCNGAGUGUAGAGGUGAAAUUCGUAGAUAUUCGGAGGAACACCAGUGGCGAAGGCGGCUCACUGG
rnacentral:rRNA from 1 species